rnacentral:rRNA from 2 species
GUGGAUUAGUGGCGAACGGGUGAGUAACACGUGGGCAAUCUGCCCUUCACUCUGGGACAAGCCCUGGAAACGGGGUCUAAUACCGGAUAACACUNCUGCCUGCAUGGGUGGGGGUUAAAAGCUCCGGCGGUGAAGGAUGAGCCCGCGGCCUAUCAGCUUGUUGGUGAGGUAGUGGCUCACCAAGGCGACGACGGGUAGCCGGCCUGAGAGGGCGACCGGCCACACUGGGACUGAGACACGGCCCAGACUNAUACGGGAGGCAGCAGUGGGGAAUAUUGCACAAUGGGCGAAAGCCUGAUGCAGCGACGCCGCGUGAGGGAUGACGGCCUUCGGGUUGUAAACCUCUUUCAGCAGGGAAGAAGCGAAAGUGACGGUACCUGCAGAAGAAGCGCCGGCUAACUACGUGCCAGCAGCCGCGGUAAUACGUAGGGCGCAAGCGUUGUCCGGAAUUAUUGGGCGUAAAGAGCUCGUAGGCGGCUUGUCACGUCGGUUGUGAAAGCCCGGGGCUUAACCCCGGGUCUGCAGUCGAUACGGGCAGGCUAGAGUGUGGUAGGGGAGAUCGGAAUUCCUGGUGUAGCGGUGAAAUGCGCAGAUAUCAGGAGGAACACCGGUGGCGAAGGCGGAUCUCUGGGCCAUUACUGACGCUGAGGAGCGAAAGCGUGGGGAGCG